CGGGAAUUUUGGGCAAUGGGCGAAAGCCUGACCCAGCAACGCCGCGUGAAGGAUGAAAUCCCUCGGGAUGUAAACUUCGCAAGAACGGGAAGAAUAAGUCUGCGUGAAUAUCGCAGGCGAUGACGGUACCGUUUGUAAGCUCCGGCUAACCCCGUGCCAGCAGCCGCGGUAAUACGGGGGGAGCAAGCGUUGUUCGGAUUUACUGGGCGUAAAGGGCGCGUAGGCGGCCACUGCAAGUCAAUUGUGAAAUCUCCGGGCUUAACUCGGAAAGGUCAACUGAUACUGCAGGGCUAGAGUGCGGAAGGGGCAACUGGAAUUCUCGGUGUAGCGGUGAAAUGCGUAGAUAUCGAGAGGAACACCUGCGGCGAAGGCGGGUUGCUGGGCCGACACUGACGCUGAGUGCGCGAAAGCUAGGGGAGCGAA
rnacentral:rRNA from 1 species